GAGCACCUAACCAUGUUGGGCAUCACUGUCCUCGCUGCGCUCUUAGCCUGUGCAACACCCGGACCUACCGUGUGGCCGUGGGAAAGAACAACCUGGAGGUGGAAGACGAAGAAGGAUCCCUAUUUGUGGGUGUGGACACCAUCCAUGUCCAUAAGAGAUGGAACGCCCUCCUGUUGCGCAAUGACAUUGCCCUCAUCAAGCUUGCAGAGCAUGUGGAGCUGAGUGACACCAUCCAGGUGGCCUGCCUGCCAGAGAAGGACUCCCUGCUCCCCAAGGACUACCCCUGCUAUGUCACCGGCU
rnacentral:sRNA from 1 species